UGUUAUAAAUUUUGUUCUGCAAGAAAGACGUCUGUUCUCGAUGAGUGACAAACUCAAAAUUGCAUAUCGUUCGAGAGAACACUUUAAUAUGAAUGUGUCGCUGCUUGCGUGGGUGAGCCUUGUACUUGUACUGUGUCUCACAACAUUUGGUCUCUGGUGGUGCAUCACCAUGUCUGUGUCAGUUCCUGUGUUUUUGGUUGGAGGUCUCACAUUCCUUUACCUGAAAAAUGCGGAUUCUUCACAGAAAUAUUACACGGCUGUAUAUCGUUCCAGGCAAGAGUCUUCCAAACCUGGACUUAGUAAGGUUGUACAUCUUAUGGAGGCACCCUCACCAUCACACAAGGUUGAUUGCCGUCUCACGGGCUCACAAGUAAUUGAUGAGUCGCUUCGGGAGAUAAUUGGUUAUGUGCUUCGUGAUUAUGUUUUCCCAUGGUAUGAUCGACUUAGCGCUGACAGUGAAUUUCCUCAUGAGAUUAGACAGACUGCCCAGAGGGUUAUUGUCACUUUUGCUGGAAGAAUGAAGGAAGUGGAUUGGAUUCCAUAUCUGACGACUCGAUUGGUUGAUGAUGCUGCCUCACAUCUGCGGUUAUUUCGUCAAGCACGUGCUAAGAUGAAACAGCAGAGGUCAAGACAUAAACAACAGCCCUCUGUGGAGAUCAGAACCUCCAUGUCAAUACCAGGAGCUAUGGAACUAGAUACGAAAAGAGGAGAGCGUGGUAGUUCAACUGGUAAACAAGUGGAGUCGCCUGCAUCUGUUAUUAGUGAAACAAGCAUGGGAGGAACAAAUAAUGCAUCCAGUGGAGCUAAGCCUUCUGUUGACUUAGAGACAUUAUUCUUUGACUUGGAAGUCACCAUGGAGGACAAUCUGUUGUGUCGUGAUCUAGUCUGCACAGAGAAGGACAGUGAGAGACAGUACUUGCAGGAUGUGAGUGAAGUGCUGCUUUUCCUAUUGCUCCCUGUGGAUGACUUCCAUUGCAAACCACUACGCUUCCUGCUUAGGGAACUUCUAGUCAGCACUGUCGUCUUACCACUAUUUGGGCUUGUCUCUGACCCUGACUACAUCAAUCAGAUCAUCGUAUGGCUUUGCAAGGAGAUUCCUAUGACAAGUGAUGUGUUCCUCACUGCACUGCGAGUCACAGACAACCAAGAGGAGCUCAUUGCAACUCGGGACAUGAUCAGCAGAGAAAUAGCUCAGUUGAGAUCCCGAGAUUCGGGCAGAGAGGACGAUACUGCUGUGAAGCAGCAGCUCAGCUCCCUUCUUUAUGUGCGUAAAGUGAUUGAAAACCGGCUUCAGCGUCUCAAGGAAGGGGCAGACUCAGACUCAGUUGGUCUGCCAUCACACAUUGAUUGGAAUCGACUACUGACGCCAGGUACGAAGCUUUUUUCACUUCCGUUGGAUGUCGUACUGAAGAACAACAUUGCCUUGUCCUACUUCAUUGACUACAUGUCCAGUGUUGGAGCACAGGCGUACCUCUUCUUCUACCUCAAUGUGGAAGGAUGGCGGGUGUCUGCUGAGCAGCAGAUAUCGGAUAUGGAGCUACAGAAGCUAAAGACUGUAGGAGACGACCAUCAUGUCAAGGGACAGCUCCCCAAUCUCACAUUGGAAAACAUGAAAGAAGCCGCCUACAGUAUAUAUGAGCAGUACCUGUCAGAGAAGGCAUCUCCCAGACUGAAACUGGAUGAGACAAUUGUAAAGAAACUUUUGUUCAGAAUACGUAGUGAGGUUCCCAAUGAAACAUGGUUUGAUGAAAUUCAGGCAGCCGUGUAUGAGAAGUUACAGAAUGAGGAACACUUCUUACCAGGUUUCCAAGGCAGUGUGUCUUAUGUGAAGCUGUUGGCAGAACUAGACUUACUGAAGGAUCCGUCUUCUCGCAGUGAUGAAGAGGACUGUCAGUCUCUAGAUGAGAUAAGUCUUUCUGACAAUAUAAGUCUGUCUUCAUUUGAUGCUGACUUCACACUGAUGGAAGGGACUGCAGCUGCUACUACUGACAUCCCUGUCAGUAGUAUACUGGGAUCAUCAAAUAACGUACCAGAUAAUUCAAUGAUGAUGAGUAAUUUGAGUGGUGAGAGCAAUGCAGCCAGACUGCAGCAGCAACCGCAGCAGGGAUCUUUCUACUUACAGGCUGAGAUAAUAGAAACAGGUGUGGUUAAUGACAGGGGGAAGACAUAUGGCAUCUACGCAGUGUCAGUGGCAAAGUGUUAUGAAACUGGCUACACAGAGAAAUGGCACGUAUAUAGGAGAUACUCAGACUUCCACGAUCUCCACCAGAAAGUUAAAGACAAGUAUGGUGAUCUUGGAAAGCUGACGUUUCCUGGCAAGAAGACUUUCCACAACAUGGAGCGUACUGUACUGGAGAAGAGGAUGAAGAUGUUAAACGAUUACAUGCAGAUCCUGCUGCAGUCUGGUGUCAUAGAUACACACCCACGAUUACAGAGAAUGCUGCUGGCAUUUCUUGAGCAGGGAGACUAUGACAAGGGUGUAACUGGAGGACAGAUAGCUCGCACGCUGGACACAAUAGUAAACCCUCUGAAGAGCUCGAUGCGGACUGUGGGGCAGGCAGUACGCACCAUGCCUGACAAUCUUAUGAGUACAGUGGAUGGUGUGAUGGACGGCAUAAGUAAGGUGUUCCAGGGUAAGGCAAUCCGGCCGCCUGGCUUCUAUGAAUCGAUGAAGGUUGGAGCUUCACUUCAUGUUGAUACUGAUGAUAACAUCCCUCUGCGAAUCAUGCUGCUGCUCAUGGAUGAAGUAUUUGAUCUCAAGUCUCGCAACCAGUGGCUUCGCAGACGUAUAGUGACACUGUUGCGCCAGAUUAUACGUACCAUGUUUGGUGACAUUGUGAAUAGAAGGAUAUUGGAUUAUGUGUCCCUGAUGACCAGCCCUGAGCAGGUUGCUGACUACCUUCGAGCAUUCAAACAAUCCUUCUGGCCAAAUGGCUGCAAGGCAGAGCCUCGCCUGCCCCGAGAUGAAGCAACUCGCAUGCGGACUCGGGUCGCUGCUAAAGUGGCCCUGCUUUCAAGCCUGUCUGAUGAACUGAAGCACAUAAUUGGGAGUGAAACGACAAGACGAGGACUUUUAUGUGUCUUUGAACUGUUCCAACACCCUGUUUUGAACCGCCGCCUGCUAUAUGUCUUACUGGAGGGCAUACUGGAAACUUUGUUUCCCCAGCACAAUCUCUCACAGGUCUUUCGUAAACUUCAUUCUCGUUCUGGAAGAGUCCGCGAUGAUUUCAAGACUUCGCAAAGAACAAGAAGUGACCUUCGCAGGUGAUAACAGCGUCAUCUUAGAUGUAGGCUAGUGAACAAGAAACUACUCACAAGAUAUUGAAUGAAUGCCACAGUAUCCUCCCUCUGCGCUGCACAUUGUUGUGGAAGCUGUGGCAGACACUGUAUGUACUCAAGUGGUAUAUAUAUGUGUAUAUAGUAUGAGUCAUGUGGUAACCAGAAUUCAGAUUGGAACUUACUUUUAUCUUUCCAUCCUGAGUUCUGGUUGAAAGAGGUUACCACCAUGGGCUUAUGUCAGUGAAGUGCUGGAGAGAUGUAUAUCUGAUCUGUUAUAUUUAUGUUUUUUGUCACUGUAUCUGUGUUCACUGUGGUUCACAGAGCCUGGACACAUGAAUGUUAGGGACCAAUUGUUUAUUGAUGGCCAGGUACAUGUAAUCUUCAAUACUGUGUGACUCAACCACUAUCAUAUUACCAGAUACCAGAAACUUUGUUAACACAAACAUAUAAAUGUUGUAAGGUGACAGCAACAUAUCUGUUGUGUUAACAUGUCAAUAAGACUGGCUGUGUGCUGUGGCAAUGUUCUGGCAUUGUAUAUUAUUAAGAGAUUACUGAGUACAAAUGUAACAUAGAAUAAACAAAAUGCAUAAAAUUUGUGUUCCUUAUCCAAAAACUAUCAUUUUGAACUCAUCAUGUCAAAAGCCAUGUUCACUGUGAAAAUUGGUUCCCUUCUGUCCGUCAAAGUGCGUCUUGUUGUUUCCUACUUUGUAUCACAGGCCACAUUCAAGACUUGUCUCAUGCAGGAGCAGUCCUGGAUGUCUUCAGAUUAAUUUGAGAAAAAUUUGUUAUAAUUUUGACAUUCUCUCAAAUAGAUUUAUUUGUGCCCUGAUUACAUACCUUCAGUUAGUCAUGUAUAAUGUAUGUCUUUUAUGUACUAAGAAUAAUUUGCUUACAAUUUAAUGUAAUUUAAAUAUUUUUGGAAACUUUUUGUCUGCAUUUGUCAUAAAGGAAAAUACUUUUCUGAUUAUUUAUAAGUUAUGUGAAUUUAGUAGUUGAAGACAUGAACUCUCACCAUAAAAAUUUGGUAAAUUUAAAGCUACAUCUUCUUCCACAAUCCCUAAAUGAUCAGAUUUUAUCCUUCAGGAAACUGAAUGCUUGUAUUUCUUGAAGCGUUAAAAACCUCACAAGUUUAAAGAAUGGAUCAAUGAUUAUCAGGCUAUGUAUACUGAUGUGGAUCAUAAUUGUGGCUUAAGAGGAAUGCAUAAUGUGUGGUUUGCCUUUAUUUAUUCUGCAUCAGUCAGUUCUGUCAUUGUUAUACAAUUUAAGGAAAACUCAUGUUUUUAAAGUGGGAAAGCAAUUUAAAUAACUGGUAAUUUUUGUAUUUCUGGUGUAUGACAAAGGAAGGUAUAAUAGUUCAUGUUGUAGGAAGAAGAAUGAAGUAUCUCCUUUUGUCAUUCAUCUCAGUAGGCUGAGAAAUGUGUGUUUUCAUCUCUAGAAGAAUAACAAUCACAGGACAUUUUAUCAUUCCAAAUGAAUGUGGUUUAUGCAACAAGUUGUGUUGUACAGCUGGCAGGCAUUUGUAGUAAAUUGGCACUACUGGACAUGUUAUGUGUGCAUGGUUCUGGUCCCAGUUAUAUUAAUUAUAUAUUGGUCACCAUUAACCCAGUUUUACUGAAUUCUGUUAAAAAGUAUAAAAAAUUAUAUGGAUUUCUUCUCUUGAUUAACGUGAAUAUGAGACUGUGUGAGUUAUAUUUAUCUUGAAAGCCACUUGGUAGUAUUAUUGGGCUGAGUUACUACUGGCCUACUUCCUUGUAAGCCUUGAGUCAGUCUCAGUUCAUAACAACUGUAUAACUGAAGUAUAUUUUUGUUGAUGAAUGUGGUGCAUGCAGUAUUUAUUGUUGUAACCUAUAUUAAGAAGAAAUUAUUUUUUUGUUGUAUACUGGAAGGGUUCUCGGUGUGUGACAUGUUAGAUAUUUCCAUCUAAUCACAACCUGAAAAUGUAUUGUCAUGAUGAGUAUCAGGAUAAAUUAGUUAUUUUAUAUACUUUUUAAUGGCAGUCUGAUUUAAAAAGUUCUCCCAUUGAAGGGUUAUUGUUUAGAUGUGUUUGUUCUGUUGUGUAUGUCGUCCUCAGCUGGUUCACAUAUCUUUAUAACACAACUCGUCUCUGGUUGCAGAAAGUUUAUGAAAUUUGGUAUAGGAUACUUACAUUAAAACUUUCAAAGCAGUUUAUAUUUUUAGUAAUUUUAGUCCAUAACUGGAGGUAACGUAUAAAGAUGAAAAUUCCACUUUUAUAUAUUUAAGCUCAUAAACCAUCCCUUAUUUAAGUGACCAUAUGGUAGACAUUGUUAUGUAAGCUGAAUUUUUAGUCACAGAAAUCUGUUAGUAUGAAUGUGUUGUUGUAAAUAUGCACAUUUGUGAGACACUGUUCACAAUUCCAAAUAUGUAUCAUUCUCAGGUUUUAAAUCACAUUCUUGUUUCAGUUACUAAAUUAUUUUUUUGUACUGUGACAAAAAUAUGUAUAAGAGACUCUGAAAUUUGGUAAAAUGAAAUUAUAGGUAAUUUCUGCACAGCUAUCUCAAAAUUGACAAAUGACUUGAAGGUUUAUGAGUGGUGUCUUGACAAAGUUGUGACUAGAACAUGAUCCUUUCUAGCCAACGGUGGGCUUAGUAGUGUUGAUGUUGUAACUUGCAGCAGGAAAGCAUAAUGGAAGUUUUUAUAUAGCGGCAGAUAGAAUUUUGGUGCCAUAGCUGCUAUACGUCGGCUCAAAAUAAAGAGCUAUUUUAGCAACACACUACUGUGUCAAGUCAUAAAACUGGACUGUGCACAAGCUAUUACACAGAGUGACACACGUUCAAUAAAGGUUAAUGAGAUUAAUAUUUUUAUUAUGUAUAUAUAUUUUUUGUAUUAUGAAUCAUUUUUAAAAUAAGGAUGUGUAAAUUGUCUGCUCCUGUUUAUUUUGUUUAAAACAAAGUAGCAUUUAGUGCCACAGGAUAGCAGCAGAUAUAAUUCCUAAUGAAAGAGUGAAAGUUUGCGAUAUAUAUUUUGGAUCGCAAUUAAGAAAGCAUUUAUAAGUUCUAUGUACUCCAUUAUGGAGAAGGAGUUACCACUCUUGUUGAUAAUGGGCUGGAAUAUUACCACAGCUGUCAGUCCUUGUUAUCUUACUGAUAACCAUGCGAGGGCAUAUCUGCCCCUAAACUGCCUAUGUGAUGUGUUGAAAUUAAACUUGAUGAAUAUUUCAAUUGUAUGAGACUUUAAACAUGCAGAUAUGAAGGAACUUAUUCUAUGGAUAGAUUUUUUAAAAAAGCAUGCCACUAUUUGGAAAGAUUACAUUUCUAAUACUGUAACUAGUAGUUCUAUAUUUUCAUUGUAAUGGACUUGCUUGUUGUAAACAUAUUUGAGAAAUAUCCUUGUAGUAAGUCUUCAGUGGGUUUGGGUUCCUAGUUUUAGACCUGUCUCUUCCAUUGUAUGUCAUGCAGCAGGAGAACAGAAUUGAGAAAUUGUUUUUUAUAACAAGAAUGUUUAUAGUUCUUUGAAAGACCAGAUGUAAUGUUACAACACAGGCUUUGGAGACAGAAUCUUUUUCAUGUAAUCAAAUUAUCUAAGUCACAUCAUUUUUGGUAAGUGAGCAGACAACUUGACUUUGCCAAAAUAUUCUUGAUAAAAGGUAAUGCCAGGGUGCUAACUUCUGUUCAGUUGGUAUGUCUGCUUCAGAAGUGAUUGUGUCACCCUGGUACCAGCAACAGUUAUUCACUUAGAAUUGUCUGUAAUGAUUUUCUUAAGAUGUUUGUACACAGAUCAUUUUGUUCUUACCAGUGGUCGUAAGACUGCUUGAAGAUGGCUGUCUUGUGGGAUGUUGCACUGUCUUGUCUGUAGAUACUGGGUUUUUGGAGGAGCUUACCGUGUCCACCGCUGUGAUGAUGGCGGCAGUAAACUCCUCCGAAAUGUUAGUAUCUACAGAAAAGACAGUGCAACAUCCCACAAGACAGGCAUGUUCAUAUUUAUCACCAUGUGAAAAGACUGCUUUGUAGAGAAAGAUUUUAGUUCACUGGUUUCAGUGUGUGCUCAAAUAUCCCCAAAAGCACAGGUUAAUAUGUAUCAUUCACAGGCUUAAUUUUUAUAUAUACCAUUACUCAGAUAUUAGUUACUGGUAUGUAGAUUAUGUGUCAUUUGUCUCAGAGUAAGCUGUAUUCUUUGGCCGCUUAAAUUGUAAGCUCAUCAGAGUGACUGGCUGUGUUUUAGAUGACCAGGGUUUGAUUUACAGCAAAGGACUGAUUUUUCUCUUGCAUCACAUCCAAAAUUAUCUGGAGCCUACCUCUUACCCAGUGGAUACUGUAAGCUUUUACGCUGUGGUAAGGCAGGAGAAGCAUUAAGCUACUCACCUCAUUCUAAUGCUGAGGUCUAUAAUUGGACCAUUUUACCUCCAUGUCUUUAUUGUGUGUUGCUACAUACAGAAGCACCUUUAUUUUUAUGUAGAGAAUCAAUGUCAUAAUAGUACAAAGUGAAUGUUGGUAAUUUGCAUGGUUAGGUUAGAAACUUACAUUGUUGGUAUUGUUAGUUUUUUCUGACUUUGUCCAUCCACCUGUGUUCAACAAAUAUAAUACAAUUUGUCAGUAGUUGGAUUUGCUCCUGCCUUCAGGUGAGGGUACAGGUCUAUUGGAGAGGAUUAACACCAAUCAGUGGAUUAUCCCCCUGUAAUGGAUCCAACUGAGUAGGAAUCUGAAGACAGUUGCACAUCCAUCUACCUAAAAUAAUUAUCUGUUUAUAGAAUAUAGGACAAUGGACAAAGUCCAAGAAACCAUCAUCUAUUGAAGUUCCACUGGUUGAGAAUAUUUAAGGCAACUCCAGAAGAAAGGUAACCUGUCUUUGCUGCUUGGAAGUGUUUUCAAGUAUUUCUGACAUUUUGGAAUAUUAUUUUUACUGACACAAUUCUCAAGUUUGUUUCCUUCUUUGUUAUGGUUUAACAAAUUUGGACACUUUCGUAAACCACGUAGGAUUCCCACAUUAUAAUCUGACUAUAAUUAACUUUAGUAUGUGGAAUAGGGUUAAUGUCUUUCUGUAACAUGUUGAAAGUUGAAAAAUUUAAUCUGCGAUUUCACCUAUCAGCAUAUUUACAUAACAAUAAUGGUGAAGACGUUUUGUUUUAUCUAAAGUUAUUCUUGAGUUAACAGUGAUGUAAAAGUUUACUAAUCGUGUUUGAUGCACAUUAUCAAGAAAACAGUACAUCGCACAAAGAAAUAAUUUUUAGCAUUAAAUGUUUAUGUCAUCAAGAGAUAUAACUGUGUCUGAAACAUUUUCUUUUGUACUCAGUGCAUAUAAACAUACGCAUGCGUAAAUUUAUUCUUGCCUGCAUAUAAAGCGGUAUUUAUGCAAUUUGGAGCAGAGUUCAGAUUGAGUGAUAAAUUUUAGUACAGACUUUGAAUAACAAAUUUCAUAAACUUCUGUUCAUCCAGAGCAGAGUUAUUCCUUAUAACUGAGAACCAGUGAACAUGUCGGAGGUAGUACCUGAUCACACAUUAUUGCAAAACUUACUUGUAAACCAAAUAGUAUUUAUUUUGUAUAAUUUUGUUGACCCACAAGAGUACCAGAAUUUGAAUGUAACACUGAUAAGCAUGUGGUAUGACAGCUGUCAUUUGUAGUUCAAAACUGGGUCACGUCGCAUGUUGAGUAGAACCUGAAAGGUCAGCUCUAAGUAUCCUUCCUCCUCUUGAGUGGCUGAGGGGGAGGAUUGGAAUUCUUGCGUCUGUAGUUAAGCAUUUCUUAAAAGUCAUAGAAUACUACUGUGUCUUGGUAUUCCACAUCUGUGUAAUACUCAUUGAAAAUAAGUUUAUUCAUUGCACAGCACAGCUAACAGAUCUAAAACCCUAGAAAAUAUGUGAAUGACAAGUGGAGAUUCCUCUGAUAACCAUGCUUUUGAGUAAAAUCUCUUCCCCCCUGCUAAGUGCACUGUAUGUCUUCUGCUAGCUGUGUGUUUGAGGGUACACUGUUGGCAUAAUUAAUGUGUCUGAGUGGCUGAUGUAAGAUAUGGUGCAUUAACAUUGUGAACAAUUUUUUUUGCAGAGAAGAAAGAAAUUGUACUGUGUAACAGUAAGCAAAAUGUUGCUGUGCAUAGUAAAAUUGGAAGAUGUGAUGAGGAUACAAUCUUGUAUCUCAGCUUAUCAUACUAAUGCCACUUUUUAUAUUACUUUCAUUUCAUAGGAAGAAAAGGGGGAGAUGAGAGAUUGCUUAAGAUGCAGAAACAAAUAGAGGAUUCUGUUCCAUUCCAAGGGUUAAGGUCUGUUGGUCUUACAGUAAAUUUAAAUAUUGUCCCCUCCACAUUGAUUUAUGUAAUGCAGACAUCUAGUGAUGCUGUGUUAAUCUUCAUAAUAACACUAGAAUCAAAUAUAUGUGGAUUUUUCAUAGCUUGGAAAUGUGUAACAUAUAUAAUUCUUCAUAAGUAAUGCAUAUAAUGCAUGGUAUAUAAACCAUUACUCACUUUUAUGUGCCAUAUGAUAAUUUCCCUUUAGGGAUUAAAUUGAUAUUUAAUGACCUUUAAUUAAAGUGGUAGUGAAUGCAUAUUAAGAGUACUUGCCCCACUUGCUACAAUUGGCAACCUCUGCUCUAAUAUCAGUGUCAGUUCAAUGUGUUUGAUAAUGAGAAACUCUAGUAUAUGUCAUGAACAAAAUUUUCUUUCAUGAAGAUUAUCUUUUGGGGUACUGCACAGUAGAGUUUAUAGAAGUUUAUUAUCAUUUCAGAGGUGCCUGUACCAUGUUAUGUGGCUGAAGUAUACCAGUGUUUCCUCACUUGUCAUGAUGAUGGAGGCAGAAAGGACCUCUGAAACACUGGUAUACUUCAACUAGACUACAUGGUGCUACAACCCAGAAGACAACCAUUUUCAUGCUGCCAUGAGAAUCUGUUAUCUCACCAAAUUUUAUCAUACUUGUUCAAGAGGAACACUUCAAGGUGACAUGCCCCUGAGCCACUAGAUUCAGCACUGCAUUCCUUGUGUCAUGAGAGAUCCUUAUUUAUUCUUUUCUCUGCAUUUGAUAGGUUGUCUGUUAUUAUGUGAUACAGCAUAUUGUUUAUUACCUAUGAUAAUUUUAAGUUUAAUAUCAAGUAACCUGUCACAUGAUAGGUUUCUUUGUAAGUUUAAAACAGUUUUGUCCUUAAAUUUAAAACACUGUGUUCUAAAUGCAUCAUGGCUACAAACAUUAGUAGCUGCUGUGUUGACUCAAAUGAUAAUAUAAAGUUAAGGAUCAUUAAGUGUGGUAUGAUACAUGUA